AGAAGUAAAAGUCGUAACAAGGUUUCCGUAGGUGAGCCUGCGGAAGGAUCAUUAUUGUAUAACCGAGGUGCGAGGGCUGUCGCUGACCCGAAAGGUCGUGCACGCCCGAGUGCCCUCACACACAUCCAUCUCACCCCUAUGUGCACCACCGCGUGGGUCCCCCUUUGGCUUGUUCGGAGGGGGGCUUACGUUUUCACACAAACUUUGUAUGCAGUGUAGAAUGUAUUUUUUGUUUUUGCGAUCACGCAAUCAAUACAACUUUCAACAACGGAUCUCUUGGCUCUC
rnacentral:misc_RNA from 1 species